GCAGUCUGCAACUCGACUACAUGAAGCUGGAAUCGCUAGUAAUCGCGAAUCAGAAUGUCGCGGUGAAUACGUUCCCGGGUCUUGUACACACCGCCCGUCACACCAUGGGAGUCAGUAACGCCCGAAGUCAGUGACCCAACCGGAACAGGAGGGAGCUGCCGAAGGUGGGACCGAUAACUGGGGUGAAGUCGUAACAAGGUACC
rnacentral:rRNA from 1 species